rnacentral:rRNA from 1 species
AUUGAACGCUAGCGGGAUGCCUUACACAUGCAAGUCGAACGGAGUGGCGAACGGGCGAGUAAUGAAUCGGAACGUGCCCAGCAGCGGGGGAUAACUACGCCAAAGCGAAGCUAACAACGCACACUAAUUGAGCGGCCGAGAUCGGUGUAGCUAGUUGGUGGGGUAAUGGCUCACCAGGGCGACGAUCCGUAGCUGGUUUGAGAGGACGACCAGCCACACUGGGACUGAGACACGGCCCAGACUCCUACGGGAGGCAGCAGUGGGGAAUUUUGGACAAUGGGGGAAAGCCUGAUCAAGCCAUCCCGCGUGUGCGAUGAAGGCCUUAGGGUUGUAAAGCACUUUUGGCAGGAAGGCGGUACCUGCAGAAUAAGCACCGGCUAACUACGUGCCAGCAGCCGCGGUAAUUC